GACAGGUACCAGCAGAGGGUCCAUGUGCCCAACAUGACGUCCCUGAAGAUUGAGAACCUGACCCCCGAGGACAGUGGGCUGUACCGGGCUCGAAGCAUCUUCACUGGAGGAGUAGAAUUUACCCAGGUUUUCCACCUCACUGUCUAUGAACCUGUGCCCAUUCCCCAGAUCCUGGUCCACUCACCAUCCAUCACGCAAGGCCUGUGCAAUGUCACCAUUGAGUGCAGGAUCUCAUGGGGCACAGAGGACCUGAAGGUGACCCGGGAGGGCAAGGGCCUCCCCAGGCAGCUGGAGGAGAGAGUGACACUGGGACCAGCCCCCAGUUCCUGGACCUUGGCUGUGCACCUUCCCCGGAGCCAGCCCUACACCAACAUCACCUGUGUGGUCAGCAACGAAGUGGACCAGAAAACUGCCACCUUCAACCUUGGGGAAGUCUGCCACCUCGGGGACGCCCAUGGUUCACUUGGAGAGGCGAUUGUUGUUUCCCUACGAGGCAUCCUAGGGUCUGUCGUGGUCAUGGUGUUGGUCCUCAGAGGUGGACUGUACCUUUGGAAGGCACACGGGAAGAAGAAGAAGAAGGAGAAGAAGAAGGAGAAGGAGAAGGAGAAGGAGAAGGAGAAGGAGAAGGAGAAGGAGAAGAAGAAGAAGAAGAAGAAGAAGAUGGAGACUGCAAGAGGCAGGUGGCACUUCUCCUUCCUGCCCCAGUUACUUCCCCUCCCCCACUGGACCCUUGGCGCCCUUCCUCCUGCAUUCACUUCUCAAGGAAUAUCUGUGCACAGGAGAUGGUGGCAGUGGUCAUGGCCUUGGGGUACACAGCAGUGGGUGGAGGGUACUGGUUUCCCAGGCCCCGAUUUAAGCUCCAUUCUGUUUGUGACUCAGGAGCAGGAUUGCAGGAGGAUCAUGGGGUCCGUGACUGUGGCAUCUAGAGUGCAGAACUGAGCCAGCAGGAGUCUCUUGAGGUGAGAUGUACCCAGUGAGUACUGAGCAUUGUGCCCAACCUGUGCUCUCCUGGUUCCCUCACUGCCCAGGCCUGGGUUUGUCUAACUCACGCAUUGCUGUUUUUAUUCCUCCUGCCACUUUAACUCUUUCUGGACAAUACACUGAGAAUUUAACCCUGGGACCAGUGUAUAGAC
rnacentral:lncRNA from 1 species